UACGUAGGUGGCGAGCGUUGUCCGGAUUUACUGGGCGUAAAGAGCGCGCAGGCGGUCGUUCAAGUCGCGUGUGAAAGCCCCCGGCUCAACUGGGGAGGGUCACGCGAUACUGAUCGACUCGAAGGCAGGAGAGGGUAGUGAAAUUCCCGGUGUAGUGGUGAAAUGCGUAGAUAUCGGGAGGAACACCAGUGGCGAAGGCGACUACCUGGCCUGUUCUUGACGCUGAGGCGCGAAAGCUAGGGGAGCAAACGGG
rnacentral:rRNA from 1 species